ACGAACGCUGGCGGCGUGCCUAAUACAUGCAAGUCGAACGCUUCUUUCCUCCCGAGUGCUUGCACUCAAUUGGAAAGAGGAGUGGCGGACGGGUGAGUAACACGUGGGUAACCUACCCAUCAGAGGGGGAUAACACUUGGAAACAGGUGCUAAUACCGCAUAACAGUUUAUGUCGCAUGGCAUAAGAGUGAAAGGCGCUUUCGGGUGUCGCUGAUGGAUGGACCCGCGGUGCAUUAGCUAGUUGGUGAGGUAACGGCUCACCAAGGCCACGAUGCAUAGCCGACCUGAGAGGGUGAUCGGCCACACUGGGACUGAGACACGGCCCAGACUCCUACGGGAGGCAGCAGUAGGGAAUCUUCGGCAAUGGACGAAAGUCUGACCGAGCAACGCCGCGUGAGUGAAGAAGGUUUUCGGAUCGUAAAACUCUGUUGUUAGAGAAGAACAAGGACGUUAGUAACUGAACGUCCCCUGGCGGUAUCUAACCAGAAAGCCACGGCUAACUACGUGCCAGCAGCCGCGGUAAUACGUAGGUGGCAAGCGUUGUCCGGAUUUAUUGGGCGUAAAGCGAGCGCAGGCGGUUUCUUAAGUCUGAUGUGAAAGCCCCCGGCUCAACCGGGGAGGGUCAUUGGAAACUGGGAGACUUGAGUGCAGAAGAGGAGAGUGGAAUUCCAUGUGUAGCGGUGAAAUGCGUAGAUAUAUGGAGGAACACCAGUGGCG
rnacentral:rRNA from 1 species